rnacentral:rRNA from 1 species
UGAGGAACAUGACCUUCGGCGGGGGAUAGCCGGCCCAACGGCCGGGUAAUACCGCGUACGACCACAUGGGGACAUCCCUGAGUGGUGAAAGCAGCAAUGCGCCGAUGGAGUGCCUCGCGGCCUAUCAGCUAGUUGGUGGGGUAACGGCUCACCAAGGCAACGACGGGUAGCUGGUCUGAGAGGAUGGCCAGCCACAUUGGGACUGAGAUACGGCCCAGACUCCCGUAGGGACGG